UGGCGGACGGGUGAGUAACGCGUGGAAAACCUGCCGUAUACUGGGGGAUAACACUUAGAAAUAGGUGCUAAUACCGCAUAAGCGCACAGCUUCGCAUGAAGCGGUGUGAAAAACUCUGGUGGUAUACGAUGGUUCCGCGUCUGAUUAGCUAGUUGGUGGGGUAAUGGCCUACCAAGGCAACGAUCAGUAGCCGGCCUGAGAGGGUGAACGGCCACAUUGGGACUGUGACACGGCCCAAACCCCUACGGAAGGCAGCAG
rnacentral:rRNA from 1 species